GACUGCUCCAGUGGCUUAUGGUUAGAGUGUCCGCCCCAGAUGCCGGAGGUCGCAGGUUCAAAUCCCAUCUGAGUCA